GGACGAACGCUGGCGGCGUGCCUAAUACAUGCAAGUAGAACGCUGAACGAGAGGAGCUUGCUCUUCUUGGACUUAGUUGCGAACGGGUGAGUAACGCGUAGGUAACCUGCCUUGUAGCGGGGGAUAACUAUUGGAAACGAUAGCUAAUACCGCAUAACAAUGGAUGACACAUGUCAUUUAUUUGAAAGGGGCAAUUGCUCCACUACAAGAUGGACCUGCGUUGUAUUAGCUAGUAGGUGAGGUAACGGCUCACCUAGGCGACGAUACAUAGCCGACCUGAGAGGGUGAUCGGCCACACUGGGACUGAGACACGGCCCAGACUCCUACGGGAGGCAGCAGUAGGGAAUCUUCGGCAAUGGGGGCAACCCUGACCGAGCAACGCCGCGUGAGUGAAGAAGGUUUUCGGAUCGUAAAGCUCUGUUGUAAGUCAAGAACGAGUGUGAGAGUGGAAAGUUCACACUGUGACGGUAGCUUACCAGAAAGGGACGGCUAACUACGUGCCAGCAGCCGCGGUAAU
rnacentral:rRNA from 1 species